AAUAGCAGAGAGCUGCCCCAGCAGGGGAUUGGCCUCCUGUUAAUUACCACAAGGGAACAAUGAGCGGAAAUGGUAUUAGAAAUACCUCCAAGCCGAUAAGGCUUUGAGGAGUUUGGUGGGAGACCUCGGACAGCUGCCAUAAUGAGCUGCUUUGCGAUCCCCACGCCCCCCUCGCCCCAACCCUGGUCCUCCCUGCACGGAGGGCUCCACACAGACGUGAUGACCGGGAAUGCUGGCUGUCCCCCAGCAGGCUGGUCCAGGCCAGGGAAGAGUCCAGACCUGAUGAACACAGCCUCUGGAUCCGGUGGCCAAGGACAGACGCCGGGGAAGUUUGGAAAAACACCUCGACCUGAGCCAAAUCAGCCACUGUGUUUGGAGAAAGAAGAGAACGGAUGCUUCCUGUCCACGUUAAGGGAGAAGACAACGGUCUGCAAGGGAGGAAGCAGACCCUUACCAAAAUCUGAAUCUGCUGGCAGCCUGAUCUUGAAUUUCCAGCCUCCAGAACUGUGAGAAAUAAAUGUCUGUUGGUAAGACCA